UGAGGAAUAUUGCACAAUGGGCGAAAGCCUGAUGCAGCGACACCGCGUGAAGGAUGAAGGUCUUAGGAUUGUAAACUUCUGUUAAGUGGGAAAAAAGGCUUGUUUCAAAUAAAAAUAAGAGAUGAUGGUACCACUAAAGAAAGCACCGGCUAACUUCGUGCCAGCAGCCGCGGUAAUACGAGGGGUGCAAACGUUAUUCGGAAUUACUGGGUGUAAAGGGUACGUAGACGGCGUUUUAAGUCAAUUGUUAAAUUUCCCGGCUUAACUGGGAGCAGGCGAUUGAAACUAAAAUGCUAGAGAGUGGAAGAGAGAAGUGGAAUUCUCGGAGUAGCGGUAAAAUGCGUAGAUCUCGAGAGGAACACCGAUGGCGAAGGCAGCUUCUUGGUCCAUUUCUGACGUU
rnacentral:rRNA from 1 species